AUUCAUAUAGUUUAAAUAAAACAUUAUUUUUUCAAAAUAAAAAUAAAUUUAAUUUUUAUGAA
rnacentral:tRNA from 1 species